AGUUCUCUUGCGUGUCAUGAACCAGCUCUUAAUUGAGUUUCUGUUCCUGCUUUACAGAUCUGAUGACCGUGUCCUGGAUCCCAUGCUCUUGUGUGUUUUGCUCAGGUGAGCUCCUUGGAACUACUCCCCAUUGCUCUUGCCCACCACUCACGCAGCUGAAGCGCUCCUACUCAAGAGUAUCACACAGAGACAGACAGUACUGAGAACCUCCGUGCUACUCCUCUUAACUUUGUCUUUGUGGGAAAACUUGCCUCUUCCAACAAGCCAUCAUCACUGCCAACAAAACCGGUUAUCAGUAUGCAUUUGGCCAAGGCUGCUGUGGAAGUCAUGCUCGUUGAGGAUUUUAUGGUCAGAAGAAACCUGGAGGAUUUCUCCAACAUGGGUGGUCCUCUGGGUAAUGAAACAGUUCCUUCAAGGCCUUUAGCGAGUGGCGACUUCACAUCUCUACAAGACUACUGAUAAAGAUAAAAUAAGCUUAA